rnacentral:lncRNA from 1 species
AAAAUGGGAAGAUUUACACAUCUCAGCCUCUCUGUCUACCUACCCCAUCCAAUCGUCCUUCCAUAUCUUCCCAAGCCAUGGUUCAGUGAAACCCAAGAAGCUUCCCAGUUGCCAUGGAAAUGCCAAGGAUACAUCUAAUAGGAAUCAUUCCGAAACAGGUGGUGAAACUUGAACAGGAACAAGGAAGGGGUGUCCCCCAAUGAUUAUACAAGACCAUUUGCUGUCUGCAGCAAACUGACAUUGGAGCAUCAGUGGAUGGGGCGUGCAGAGAGAGCUCACAGGAGUGCUUAACUGCUCAUCUUUCGAGAGAUCUAAAGAGUAGAAGUGGUGGACCCCAGCCCCCAGGCCAAGAAGUGACGUGGGAAAACAGGCUGUGUUAACCGGAAAGGACAGGACAUGGCAGAGGGUUUUUGAGAGGAGUAAAUAAAUCACAUGUGUAACUAUG